UCCCUCGAGUUUUUCCCCAGAGACCUAAGGAUCACCGUUGUAACAUCUACAGUCCUCCGCUCUGCCAUCUGAGCUAUCGAGGG